AGUAUAAUGUCUGAUUAAAGGAUUUCUUUGAUAUGGAAAAGCAAGUGUGUUAUCACACUUAUACUA
rnacentral:tRNA from 1 species